AACGAACGCUGGCGGCAGGCUUAACACAUGCAAGUCGAACGCCCCGCAAGGGGAGUGGCAGACGGGUGAGUAACGCGUGGGAAUCUACCCAGUUCUACGGAAUAACAGAGGGAAACUUCUGCUAAUACCGUAUACGCCCUACGGGGGAAAGAUUUAUCGGAAUUGGAUGAGCCCGCGUAAGAUUAGCUAGUUGGUGAGGUAAUGGCUCACCAAGGCGACGAUCUUUAGCUGGUCUGAGAGGAUGAUCAGCCACACUGGGACUGAGACACGGCCCAGACUCCUACGGGAGGCAGCAGUGGGGAAUAUUGGACAAUGGGCGCAAGCCUGAUCCAGCCAUGCCGCGUGAGUGAUGAAGGCCUUAGGGUUGUAAAGCUCUUUCAGUGGGGAAGAUAAU
rnacentral:rRNA from 1 species